rnacentral:rRNA from 1 species
AACGAACGCUGGCGGCAUGCCUAACACAUGCAAGUCGAACGAGAUCUUCGGGUCUAGUGGCGCACGGGUGCGUAACGCGUGCGAAUCUGCCCUAUGGUUCGGAAUAACAGUUGGAAACGACUGCUAAUACCGGAUGAUGACGACAGUCUAAAGAUUUAUCGGAAGAGGAUGAGCCCGCUUAGGAUCAGCUAGUUGGUGUGGUAAAGGCGCACCAAGGCGACGAUCCUUAGCUGGUCUGAGAGGAUGACCAGCCACACUGGGACUGAGACACGGCCCAGACUCCUACGGGAGGGAGCAGUGUGGAAUAUUGUACCAUGGGCGAAAGCCAGAUCCAGCAAUGCCGCGUGGGUGAUGAAGGCCUUAGGGUUGUAAAGCUCUUUUACCCGGGAUGAUAAUGACAGUACCGGGAGAAUAAGCUCCGGCUAACUCCGUGCCAGCCGCCGCGGUAAUAC